rnacentral:rRNA from 1 species
AUGACUCAAAGUGAUUAUACACUGAAACCGAAGCCUUUGGAAAAUGAAACAGAAACCUUACUUGAGAGCAGGCAGAGGCGUGGAACCAAUGGUGAUGUUGUUGUUGCCUGCUCUUCUAAACUGCUGCUUGUUCAUCGUUUGCUGUUUUGCCUAUCAAGUUUUCUUCUCCUCUGUGGCAACGAAGGUAACUACUCAAAGCAGUUGGCAAGACAAGCAUUCGAUGGAGCUCAAGCGUUGAUCUUGAAGGAAGGUAACUACUCAAAGAAGCAGGAUGCAACCAUAAAGAUUUUGUUGGAUAACCAUUCAGAUUUUGGUAUUACCCAUCAACAAGCUAACCGUGCUACUGGUGAAGGCUCAGUAGGCUCGCAAUCGCAGCGGAGCAUAGGGGUCUGGCACACGAAAGACGUGGUGUGGAGCUGGAUACUCUUUGUUGCGUUUGCGGGUGUCUGCUUGAAGUUGGCGGCCACCUUUUCCUUCGCUUUUUUUACGCCCUCUCCAAAGCCUGUUAUACAGGAUACGAGCAAGUGGAAGCCGCCACCUGACUUCGUCAAGAUCAACCUGGACGGUGCAUACUAUCCGGAAUCUGGUACGGGAGGUUGGGGCUGCAUUGCUGGAGCGCCGGACGGAGAUAUCCUAUUCGCAGCCGCUGGACCGCUCAGUAACUUGUCUGAACCGUUACAGGCUGAAAGCAAUGCGUUUUUGAAGGCGAUCGACCUUUCGGAAAAUUUGCCAUGGGCAAAGUCAUCUUUGAAACGGAUUGUCUAA